rnacentral:rRNA from 1 species
GACGAGCGCUGGCGGCGUGCUUAACACAUGCAAGUCGAACGGAAAGGCCCUGCUUUUGUGGGGUGCUCGAGUGGCGAACGGGUGAGUAACACGUGAGUAGCCUGCCCUUGACUUUGGGAUAACUUCAGGAAACUGGGGCUAAUACCGGAUAGGAGCUCCUGCUGCAUGGUGGGGGUUGGAAAGUUUCGGCGGUUGGGGAUGGACUCGCGGCUUAUCAGCUUGUUGGUGGGGUAGUGGCUUACCAAGGCUUUGACGGGUAGCCGGCCUGAGAGGGUGACCGGCCACAUUGGGACUGAGAUACGGCCCAGACUCCUACGGGAGGCAGCAGUGGGGAAUAUUGCACAAUGGGCGGAAGCCUGAUGCAGCAACGCCGCGUGCGGGAUGACGGCCUUCGGGUUGUAAACCGCUUUCGCCUGUGACGAAGCGUGAGUGACGGUAAUGGGUAAAGAAGCACCGGCUAACUACGUG